UUUGACAACAUAACAAGACCAUUUUUGUUGGAAUAUAAUCGAUCGGUGGAUUACGCUUCAUAGCCGCUGUUAACGGACCUCUGAACCCGAUGGUGAGAUGGGAACUCGAAGCGCAGGUGAGGAAGGUCGUCCUCUCUCCAUGUCAAAGGGAAGCUCCCGUCGAGGCCUUUUCUUCUUCUCCGUGUCCAAAUCCCUCAUCUCCCCUGAACCAUGGCCGUGGCCCUCUGCCCGAGCAAGGACGCCAGACAAGAAGUCAGCUAUUUCGUCCUACAGUGAUGAAAGAAGAAAAUCAACAUCAUAGAGCAAACACCGUGGCUGUUUCUGAAUCUGGGAUGAUCACAAUUUGAGUUGAUGGAUUGGUUUUUGCUCCUCUGUUGAGACCAUGCAACCUUUGAGUGCAGUGUUGCCCUGGCGCCCAUCAUUACUCAGAGGUCAGCGGUAGAUGAUGAAGCGGUGGCUGUAGCUUCAGCAGCGGCCGUGACUUACCUGAGGUUGUCAUCUGCUCCUCCCACCACCACCAUGCUGUUGUCUGCCCUCAGCUUCUCUCUGAGCUCCUCCAUGCCUUCUAUGCUACACUGCAGAGCAUUCUGUCCGACCACAAACAACACUGGGGUCU